ACUCUCCACUUUCCUUUCUUAUCAGAUGCAAACACUGAUCUGGGUGGUCAUGAAAGAGGAAAGGCGACACUGACACUCACGUCCAUGCUUUUGGAGCGCAUGUGCUAGUUUCAACAACAA
rnacentral:snoRNA from 1 species